GCUUCUAUAGUUUUGGGCGUGUGUACAGAUAGGGGCUUCGCUUCCGGUGUGUUUGCCUAAGCGAAGGUACUGUUUGAUAACUUGGCAUUAGUCCAUAUGUGCUAGAUUGCCAUACCUUAACGUAAUAACGGGUGUAAAUUAGUCUUAUGAACGAAAAGCGCCUCGUAACAUCGAUGGUGACUGCAGCUGCACCCAACACCCUCAUGUAGGUCAACCCACGAUAGGGCUUAAAGGUACAUUGCGAGCAACGUGUUUUGUAGUAUUACUGUUCUGCCUUAGUAUAGCGCAGGCUCGCUCUCUCGGACGGAUGGAGGUGUAAGUGUAUUGUCAGCGGCUUGGUUUGGGUUUGUGUGGAACUUUAUGAAAACAAUACAAUACAGAAAAUGAUAUUCCACGUGACUGCUGUUUUCUCUAUUGUUCUCUAUAUCGUUAUAUUAUGUUCCGUGACUUUGCUGUUUCCUCCAUUGUUCUCUAUAUCGUUGUAUUCAGAUUUGGAACUGCUCAUCAAGCUGCGGACAUUGAUUUUACUUCUUACUGUGAUGUUCUGUACAGUGUCCUAUAUUUUUACAAGCAGUGCUUCUGUUUUUGAGUAGUCUCUAGAAUGGCUCGGUAUAUACUUAAUACAUUUAUAUUCAACAGAAAUAUUGAGUGGAGCGACGAAACUACCGGAAUGGAACCUUUACCGAGGCCAGCGCGAUAAUGGCUGUUGUGAGGAAUGUUCUUGAUCUGUCCAAGCAUCCAUGAUUGAAGUGUCCAGCUCGUGAGGUGUCCAGCUCGUGACGCAAUCUGCAAUAAAUGUCGGAAGAGUGGAAAUCACGCUUAAGCCUGUCGUUGUGCUGCCACAUAAUUGGUAGAAAUCCCUAAGUGCUGCUACUACUGAAGGGAGAAACUAAACCGGUGUGUCCUGCCAAUCCCCAUCCUGCGGCAGGAAACUAGCUUUGUUGCAGUGGGAGUCUGCCUUCCUUCACCUUCCAGGGAAGGGAUGAGAAACUUCUGUUCUGCCUCACACCUCCUCUCUGUCCUGCCAUCGAAGGAGGAAGGAUUCCUAUUCUAGAUCAGAAGUAAAUACUGCAUUGUACUAGUAUGUAUGUUGUAUGGUGUUUAGUAUUAUAAGCUUCAGAAUAGCUUGAGGUCUAUCUUUACCACAUCAGGUGUCCUACCUGACCUUUUAUCGAACGCGCGCGCGCGCGCGCACACACACGCACGUUUUUCAUGACAACAGCUGCUCACCACUCCCUCGUGUAGGUAUAUCCAUGACAGGACGCGUGUACAUUGAACAAGGUGUUCUUAAGGUUUAAAGGAAUUUUUCAUGAUUUGUUACGUGUUGCAAGUACUGAAGGAAAAACCAAGCAGUGUACCCUGCCACCAAUCCCUAUCCUGCUGCAGGAAACCGACCAUGUUGCACUGGAAGAUUAGAUGCCAUCUUCUGCAGAGACUUCUGCCUCACACCUCCACUCUGACCUGCCAAUACAUGCUGCCAUGCUCUGUAAUGUUAUGGCUUCCUUUUCCUGUACCUGUAAAUGUACCUGCCUGUAGUGCUAUUACUGUAUAAUAAAAAUUAUAAAUUCUUGUU